GCUUGGACCUAUGGCUUUCUGUUUGAUGUGGGGAUUCAAGCUGGAAAGCAAAAAAAGUAUUCAUUGGGAAUGAUGCAGAAGCUGUUUCUAAAGCAACACGGAUGCAUAAAAACCAGCACGGGCUGCAUGUGGCAACAGACCCAACAUUUUUACAUACAUGUCAACGAGUUACUUACACAGCUGUAUGUAACCAAAUCUCCUUUGUAUAUGCAGCAAGGACCUGUCCAACUACUAUAUUAAUAGGUGAACAGUAAAGGGCUGAUUUUAAAGAAAUGUAGGAAUUUCACUAAUGAAGCAUCUCUUUUUCUGCUGUUCUCCAAGAACCUGUGUUCACCGUGUGAGCUGUCACUUGCUUAACUGUUUUUCCAUAGUAAUGAUCUUUGAAUUCAUAUGUAGUACAACAAAGAACCAAAAACAAAAAAACCCCAAAUAAUCCAGAAAUCGGCUGAAGUGUCAUAAAGUCACAUAUAAACUGGAUUUUCUCAGUCUUCUGCUGUGGGGGUGUAUGUGUGUAUAUGUGUGUAAACACUAGUACACACAACCACAGCUGAAGGUGAGAAGCAAAAUGUUCUGAAUUAGAAGACUAAGACAGACUGUAAGAGUAUUUAAGAAAAGUGAUGAAAGUUUACAUAUACAACCUUAGAUUUAACGCGUGCUUAAAGACCUAAGGAUAAUCUGAGAUAAUUUCAAGUGUAUUUUUGAGAUAAUAACAUGAAAAGAGAGUAAAAAAUCUUCAGAAGUUACUGGUCAACAGAACAGCUUCGUUCCAACAACCCGAUUCACAGCCCCAAUGAAAAGGCCAAGCCCAAACCUCCAGGUGGCAUAAAAAUGGAUUUGUUUCAAAAGUGAUCAAAAGAUGGUGCUUCAUACACGAUUUGGAUGUGUUGUACUCACUGGAGAAGGGACAGGUUUCUUUUUAUCCCAGCUCAAUUUUCUCUCAAUAAAGGUUGCACUGCUGUUUUCUUUUACAAAAUUCAGUUUCUGAACCUUCUCCAUCAACUGAUUCUGCACUUCACAGAUGCUUGAGGAAGACAGCUGCAAACACAAAGGUGGGUUAGAUCUCAUAAACAAGAUAGUAAGGAGAUUUGAGAAUGCUGUGAGCCAGGAAAUCUGACAAGUUAUUGCUGUCUUCUGUAGAGCACUCAUUGUGCUAGGUAUGACUUGGAAAGAAAAUUACUUGCUUAAAGAAAGUUUCUAAUGAUUGCUAUUAGGUUUAAAACAUUGCAAGUUAAAUAAUUGAAAAAUAUUCUAAACAGUGAUGAAAAUGAUCAGCCUUGCACUGCUGCUUUCACAUACAAAUGUGCAUUUCAGGAGCUAUCGGAGUGGCCAGUGUGCUGGAAGGCUUGAAGCAGCUUACCCUACAGCCCUGUGUUUGCAAACAGGUUGAAAACAGUUGGAUAAGCUGAAGAUUUGUGGUGCUGAGUAAGUGCUUUUGGUCCAUGCCUAACCCCAAAUGUACUUGCUGAUGUAAACAGGAAAAUUUUAAAAAUCAUUUUGUAGGCAGAACCUCAUAGAAAACAAUGUUUGAUACAACAGCUUUUGAAACAUGUAAUAGUCAAAUUACAACAAUGCAAUUUGUUUGUGCGAUAAAAGCUUUCAUUUUCCCAUUAAACAGCUCAGCUCUAUGUUUUGAUCCUGACCUUUCUUUCUUAAUUUUUCAUCUGCCCCUGACAAUGAAAUGCUGUGUUCAAGCCUUGAUGGAAAGGAACACUCCAGAAUUGCCUGAAUCCAAUGGGUUUCCUAUAUAGCAUCUUGCUCCAGUUCAGGUCCAGCUCUUCUCCUGUUGACCUCUGAAGGCAGCUGUUGUAGUCCAAUAACUUGUCAUAGCGCUUCUGGAUGAGCUUCUGUGGGCCUGGAAACAAGGCUUGUAGUGCUGAGAGAGGAGUCAAAACAAGCUUGUCCAGCUGAGCCAUCUGGAAAGGUAGAAACCAGACCUACUUACCGCUUUAUUCAUGCCGUUCUUCAGACCCAGGUUAAUCCUGAUGGUAACGUGUCAAGUAAGCUGUUAAUUACUCUUCCCAAAGCAUUGCUGUCAAGUGGAGUCCAGUAUGAGCUACAGUGGUCCAAUAAAACUGGGAUUUCUAUAACUGGAAGGACCAUGCCCGUAUCCAGUCUAGAGGCAAUGAGGUCUUGUUAAAUAGCAGUAUUGCAGUCUUGAAUGCUAACAAAGCACUUUGUUUUGUUUUAUUUUAUUCUGGAAACGGCUGUAACUCAAUUCCUUUUUAAGCAAACACAAACCAUCAUUUGAUUUGAUUAAAUUACGUUAUGCUUGUUGGUUUUAUCUCUAGUAACCAACAGAAUUAAACACCUGGUAAAAUAAAAUAAAGUCUUUCUCAGACUUUUCCAUUAGUCUCUAAUGGUCUCAAGAGAUUAAUAUUGCAUGAAAUAAAAUUUAUUUUUUGUAAGUCACUUAUUCAAAUACAUCAGAGGCUUGUAGUGAGUGAAACUCAUCAGCAUAUUAAAGCUCUUGGACAUUCUUUGUGAUUUAAGUUGUUGGGCUGAAUGUGAGAAUAAAAGAGCAGCUGUCCCUCUACCCUCUGUAACACACCACAGUAGAGGACACACAUCCAUUGUAGCACCAGAAUUGCUCUCCCAAGGCCAAGAUGAUGUGCAGUGAGCGUAUAUAUAUAUAUAUAUAUAUAUAUAUAUAUAUAUAUAUAUACCCAAAAUAACAAAAUAACUGGGUCAUGAGCCAAUAGGAGUUACAAAUAUUGUUCUGCAAAAGUUUUCUGUUUCAUCUUUUGUGGAAUUGCUUCUACUUUUCUUGGAUGUUUCUGAAGAUGGGGCAUCAUCCAGACUGGACACAACACUGCAAUGACAGAGGGGCGCUCUUCCACCCUUCAUGCACUCAUCCAUUGUAAAGACAUUGAAAGUAUCUUUCUGGUUAUUGAGUUUCUUAAAUGCAGAAACUUCAAAGGAAAGGAAAUACAUCUUACUUGCCUGUCAUUAUCUGGGAGGAUGUGGUCUAUCAAAAAUCCUUCUGUUUCUUGGCAGACUCUGUUCUCAGUGUUUGGAAAGGAUUAAAUGGCUACGUUUUAGUCAGCACAAGCAUAGGAAAGUAUAAGAAAACCUCCACCUUUGAAUUUUUCCAGCUUGAGCAGCUGUUUGGAGAAGCAGCUUACCCCAUUUGGAAGAGACAUUUUAGUCUAUCUUAGUAGGGCCAGGCAUUAUAGUUCAUUUGGACCCUGAAUGCAAGAGACCAGUUGAAAACCUUUUUGUUUUUUGAAACUGCUUUUUAAUUCCUGUUAGCUAUAACCAGAUUUUUCAUGGUUUCCUUAUAUGAAGGAUAGUAACUUACCUGAAAAGGUAACAAAGCUGAGAUUUUCACACAUCUGUGAUUCCGGGAGCUAAUAGUUCAUGAGCACCACCAAGAUCACAGAAGUCACUCUAAAACCACAAGUGUUGGUAACAGAAGUAGCAAAGCAAAGAUCUACUGCUCUUGGUUGAAGCUCAAGUGAAACGUGCAAAUUUAGCACAAAGAUUAAACCCAGAAUUUACCUUGAGAAAUUUUCUUUAGCUCUUCUAGGAAAAGCACAGUGCACUUACACUGAAUUUUAUCUUAUUUCUUACUGAACCUCAACCAAAAAACCCACUCAUCUUUCCCAAUGGAUUCCUACUUAUGUUUCCCUCUUUUCUGUCCUGAGUAUUCCUCACACACACCCGUUUUCUCACACAUACAGGUAGUUGUGUAACACUGGAUAAUGCGUAAACUUACAAGGUCUUCACAGAGAUUUGCACUGUUCUGUUUUCUCAAACAUUCGUCAACUUCAUCUUUGUCUCGCAAGAUUUCCUGAAGCCCAAUUAUAUUCUGUGCAGCCAGAUGUAUGGAAUCCUAAAUGAGAAGAUGGUAGCAAAAUUAAACUUUAUUGCAAUUUGUUUUAAAAUACUGCAUUCACUCAUGCAGAUGCUGCAGUAAUACUGAAACAGAACUAUUUUCGGUGUCUGAUACCUGCACAGUUUCCAGCUGCUGUGGGACUGUUUACUAUGAAAACAUUUUCCUGUGCUUGGUACAUUUUCAAUGUCCACUAUUUAAGAGUGAAGUUGUUAAUGUUCAGCUGAAAAAAUUAUGCCCUCUCAAACAACCUUCAUGUCUGUUUUGGGCAAACUUAUGCUUUGAGGGGCCUCAUGCAUCUACUGUGUUGUAAGUUGUCCAGAAGAGGGACAAGCAAGUUACAAGCCAACCCACAUCUUCAGAGAGGAGGAUUGAAGCAAAGACAUUUACAGCACCUGGGCAUUCUGCACAUCUAAUUCCAGCCCUCAACACAACCUAGCAUCAGGAUGAAGGAAUGAGUCCUCACAGCCAAAAUAUAUGUUUUAGGACAUCUUAAUUCACAUGGCUGCAACCCAGUUGUUCCAUUUUUAAUGGGAGGCAGCUGGUGGUGCACUGCGGCAGAUGUGCGGGACCCAAAUGACGGCUUCACGCAGUGACUGAAAGUAACUGUGCCACCAGACAGCACCUUCUUUUCUGCACUGCACCCAUGGGUCUGUGUGCAAACAACUCAUGUAAGGGGAAAAAUGCAGAUGUGUGGUGUUCUAAACUUCUUUACCAUGGGCUCAGUAAUGCAGGAACAUCACAGCUCAUUUAUUUAAUACUGUGAUGUAGACAGGCCUGCUUAUAAAUAAAGUGGUGUUGCCUAACCAGUGGCAGAUACGUGAGUUAAACCACUUACGGACAUGGUUUGUGGCCACAGAUUUCAAAAAGGCCUGUGUACCCACCUGUAGUUGUUGCGAGGAGAGCGAAAUGUUCUUCACGCACGAUUUCACAGUCUUCUCUAAACUUUGGAACAACUUUUCUUCCUUAUUAAAAGUUUGAUCUUUUACCUAAAAUAGAUGUUUGUGCUGUUAUUUUGGCAGCCUGAAAGAGCCUGGUUAAUCACAGAAUCACAGAAUGUUAAGGGUUGGAAGGGACCUCGAAAGAUCAUCCAGUCCAAUCCCCCUGCCUGGUUAAUGAGAGAGAUGCCCAGAGCACUUCUGAAAAAAACCCCAGAUCUUCCCUGAACUCCUCCCUUUGAAAACAGAACAGCUUGGCCGCUCAUUCUCACAAGAUCCAGUUUUAGUCAAAGGAAAGUCAAAGGCACAGGGCAACAUGCCAGAAGAUUUAAUUUUUAGUCUUUGUGGAAGCGGGGAGUUGCUUUAUUACAAGCACACCCACGUGUACCAAUGAAACUCUUCAUUUUCGAUACGCUGUUGCUCCGUUUGAGGAAACAAUAGUGAAAAUGGUAAGAUAUUUUUCCAUUGCACUGUUUUGUGGGUGAUGGGGAGAUUUCCCCCAGGCUGGCUGCAGGUGGAGCUGUUACCUGCUAGAAACCUUUAGCAGCUGGAAAUAGGCUUGGGCUUCUUAAUGCCAGCUGAAAAAAACAACAAACCAACCCUGAAAAUGCAUUUAUUUCUGCCUACCUUUGACUUGAGAAAUUUGAGAAAUGUCAAGUCUCUUUUUCAGUGGUCACAGCAUGUUUCGGAGAUAUGAACUAAGAACUUAGUCUAAUUAAGCAGGAGAGAGGACUGAAUCUUUAACAGAUGUAUCCUGGUUCUUAAAAUGCUUCUCAAACCAAACAAAACAAACUCCACAAAACAACAGAAAACAGAAGCUUCAACAGAAAAAAAAAGUCACACCUCCUCUUAAUGGAAUUUAAUUCCCCGUUUUUUCUUGACUUUCUAGCCUUGCCCAUUCAGAAUACAAAAAUUUCCACUGUACAAAUAAAUGAAGAGAAAAAAAAAUGGGGGUAGUUUGCAUCAGAGAAAGGGGGAAACCACUGAUAAAAAACAAAACAGAAAAAAAGACACAUUUCUUCUAAAGUCACAUCUAAAAAGGCAAGUGACCUUCUACAAUCAGCCAUCUAAUGCGGUGAGGUGCACUGUGUGUCAUUUUCAAGGUCAGUUGUAAUUGAUUUUCUUUGAGAUUUAGAUUUAAGCUUUCCUGAAAAUGUUUAUCCUGCUAGGUUUUGAAUUACAACCUCAAAAUUAUGAAGGAGUUGGGUUUUUUUUUUGCCACCUGACACCCAUCAGACUUAUCACAGUGUUCUUUGCAUCUGGUAGUUUUGACAGUUCCUGGUAGAGCCAAACCACAUGGCCUUUCCUAAUCAGAAGUAUUGAUCAUCUUCCUUGGCAGAUUCAGAACCUGAAUGUUAUAAUGCGGAGCAAGACGGAUUGAACGUUUUCUCAGCACCAAUAAUAACUAUUGCUGGUCUAUCAGCAACAAGCUGAUCUCAGGCUGAGUUUCACAAACCUACCGGUCGCUUCCUCUUGGCGAUCAGAUCACAUGUCUGAGAAACUCAGAUAAAAAAGAAAAAGGUGGAGAACGCAUUACGUUAUUUUCUGUUUCAAUCACAAAGAUCUUUCCUGUCUUCUGUGACAGUCAGAAAAUGACUUUAUAAACGACACAGAAAAAAAAGCAACGCCACAAGCUCCAUAUCCAGAACGUUUCAAAAAAAUACCCAGUGCAACGGCAGAACUGAAGCUGUCAAUACAAAUCUGCAUUUGGAUCAGUAAGUACCUGAGGUUCUCCCCCCGUCAGUAUUUUCAGGUGGCUGGUGACCCUCUUGGAUUUCUUGCUAAUGGAGUGGAUAUUCAGUCGGGAAAACUUCUCUUUAAGGGUUUCAUCAUCAUCAUUCCUCUUAUACUUCAGCACUGCAGACAGAGAAUUUCAUGACACUAAUAAUCUGUAUUCGCAGGGCUUUUCACAGGGAUGGGCACACAGAUAUGAAACCAUUUGAGAGCAGACGCUUUGAUGUCACUUGCUGUAAUCCUGUGUGAAAAUGCUUGAGGUGAUGAAAACCCUGUUAUCAACACUAGCCUUGGGAAGAGUGAAGUUAGGGCUUCAACAUGGCAAGUCUAUAAGAAAUGUUACUAUCACUGCGUCUUAAUUAUUAUCAGCGUUUGCAACUGCAUUGCGGACAAUAAACAUGGAUAUAGCAUGAAUUAUUUCAUCAUUUUCAUAUUUCUGGAGUUACCGGUCAGAUAACACAGCUGGCUGAGGACAAGUGACCUCAAGGCAUCUGUUACCUUCUUGAAACCCAGAGUAUUACACAACUUGGGUAGCACCAGCCAAAAACUGUUGUAGUGAUAUGACUGGAGUUGAAACGUCUCUUGUAAUUACCAGCCCAAACCUACAAAGACAGAGAAUUUUUUGUGCCUUUUUCUUACCUAAAUCUUUCCUCCUUUUAAGUUCGUUGAUGUUCACAUUAAUAUUUUUCAUAGCAAAAAGGGCAUUUUCUAGUGCCUUGUGGUCAGGGUGAGAAGCAGGAGUUGAAUUCAAGAGUUCGCAGAGUAACAAGGGAUAUUUCAUCACCCGUUGUACUGGUUUGAUCAUCAGGGAUCCCAUGUCCAUUAGAUUUGGCUUUCCUCUGUAAUUUAUACAAAAACAAUGUCACAUAAGGAUAAACUCCCUGAACACAAAAACUGAUCAUUUUUGUCUAGCGACUGAAGCUGCUGCCUUUCAUAUCCUUCAGUUUAGCUUUCAACUACAGAAAAUUUCAAAACCAGAGUGGUGCUUUGCACUGAGUCACAGAAAUGCAAUUACCACUUAAGUCAAAAAAUAAGAUACAUCUGUCAGGGAACAUGGGCCGUUGUAAACAAACCCCUCCUUUCACCCCCUCAAUGAGAAACACACACCAGCGCUGAGUUUUCUGUAUUUUCAGCAGUCUGCCAGACUAUUGCUUUAGACAUCACCUCUGAAACAGUCCCACUCAGUCUGAGGGUGCGUGUGGUGCAACUUACACACCGCAACACCCAGGAAGGGACAUGUAGGUGGAAGAACAAAUAACAGGAAGUUUGAGAAACACAUAUGAGUGGGGACAUUACAUCUUGGUCUGGCCCCUCAGGCUUAAAACUGCAAUAUCUCUGCUGCGAGUAACUGGCAUGCCCGUUCAUGGCUGCAUCGCUUCCCACAAUGUUUCUCAACUCACUGCAGCGCCUUUUAAGCUUUACUGUCAUUUACCUGUGGGUUUUCUUUGCUGGCUAUUUCUAAUGAUACCUGAGCUUCCAAAGGCUACCAGAUCUGGCCUGGGGAAAUGCUGAACAGAAUAUUCACCCAGGCUUGAUCCAACCUGCUGGAAGUCACCUUACACCAAGGCAGGAGCCUGGGGUGGCAGAAGGAUGAGGGUAGGAAAGCCUCAGCUUCCCCUGCGGGCACAGAGAUGCUCUGCAGCUCCAGGCUUGUUCCUUUGCUCACACUCUCUAGGCUUGAAGGUGAGAGGCUGUACAGUUUGCAGGUCGUCACAACAGCCUGGAGAAAACAGGGACCAAGCCACACGUGCCUUCAUUACCUUCCACGUGGAUGGUAGAAACAUGGAGCAGGUAACACCACGUGGCCAAGCGCUAGAGCCAGGGUCAGUCAUUACUGAUGGUCCAGCAGACAUGCCUUGUGUCUCCUCAUUACAGCACGUUCCUGAGCAAACCAGACAACGGUCUAACACCAUUGCUGGUAUGAACUACCUGUGACGUCCAGACCUCCCCUUUGCAACUGAGCUUGAGCUGGUGGUAACAGAGUGAAGGGCAGUAAAGCAGAGCAAGCAUUGUCGGGUUUGCAUGCCCAACAAGGCUGCUUUGGACAUGAAAAGCUUGUUUGAGGUUAACCAUGCAAGAGUUAAUGCUAAGCGAAGAAGGAUUCCUGCACGUGGAAAGGUGGAAUAACACAAUGUUGAAGGAAAGCACAAAAAAUAGGGAACAGCCACUAGGUUUUGCAGGCUGACAUCUAUUGUUUUGUGCAGCAGGAAGAGUAAGGAAAAAAAAGCUUUCAUUCCCACUUUUAUAUGUGUAAAAAGUACAAGAGCCAAUCCUCACUGCUGACUAAUUAACUAACAAUUUGAAUGCCUUUGAGAAGAGACAUCUGCAUAUUUAAAGCAUCUCUCUCACACAGGCAUUAUCUGGAAGAAAGUUCUGCAUGAAAAAAAAUUAACAGUAGAUGCCUUUUAAGGCUUCUUGAUGUCCCCAAACCCUCUCAUCAUUUCAAUCCCCCUCAUUUCCCCUGUAUCCUACAUUAAAUAUAGAGAGCUAUUUUCCCUUCUUUUAGCUUCUGGCAGCAAUAAUGAAAAAAAAUCUUAAAUUGUUAUUGUUUUCUCUGAAAAGCCCCAUGAAUGCAAAUCUCUAAAAGCUGCCUCAUGAAUGGAAAAAUCUUCAAGUGUCUUCUUUUUAUAUAGUUGCACUUUGGACAGCUGCCCAAGUGAUAAACAGCCCUCUGUUCGCCUAUCUGCAUGACACAGUCUUGCAAUAUGGUUCGAGAGAUAGUAGGUUUGUUAUAAGAUAAUGACUCCCUGGGGCACUAAAUGCCACAAAGUUCAACUCAUCUAAUUCUCCCCAGCAAGAUGAGCUGACGAUAGCCCCUCUCCAUGGCCGAGCCCCGUUUGCAAUGCACCCCGUUGGCAGGACAUGGCCUUGCCAUACAGCUGUGACAGGUAACAUCAGGAGAUGCUGCAUUUCAAUGAUCCCGACCUGCUGGAUGUCCGGAAACCACCACUGUGAAAAACUCUCCUUUAUAGCUUUUCAAAGAUGUCAGAUUUGGCACAGAAGUCCCUUAACCACAAGUUUUCAAUGGCUGGAUUUCACUUGGACAUACUUCCUACCUCCUAAGUCUUAAGACAUCUCUGCAGACUGAUCACUAACUGGGCUAUGGUUGAAAUGUGAGUUGCUGAUGUACGCUGCAUUAUUUGUGACAGCUUUACAUCCCUCCUACAAGCAUGCAGCAAUGGGCCUUUCCUGGAGCUGGGGCUGGAUCUCCCAUCUGAAAGACCGUGGUGUGUUCCCUCCUGACAGGUCUGUAUGACGAUUUUGGGAAAGUGAGGGGGCAAGGGGGUUUAUAGGUGGGAAAAGAAGCAUUCUCUGUGGAGUGGAUGAGCUGGUUCCUGCAGCUGGAGGAAAGAUGGAUCUGUUAUUCUGCAGCAUCCCCAGUUCUCAACACAGUUCUGCAAGGGGCUGGCACUGGAGCUGAUGGUACAAAGCACCUUCCACUGGUGGCACCUGGCAUCUUGGGCACAAAGCACCUUCCACUGGUGGGACCUGGCAUCUUGCUCCGACACUGAUCACUCUCAAACACCCCCAUCAUGAGGGGUCCGGCACCACACAGCUGCUCCAGGUCCUGGGGGCCCUGCAACACGGGCCCAGAAACACCAGUGUGUGUGAAUAGCGUCUUCACACGCUGUUUUAAUUCAUGCAAUAGUGUUACUGAAGAUGGGGGCAGCAAGUUUCCUGGGAGCUGGGUAAGGUGUUCCAAAUUGGCCGUGAUAUGAUGCAGGAUUUUUUUUGCCAGUAUGGGGCACUGAAGCUAAGGGAAGAGCAACCUUUCUUCCGCUAUUUUUGGCCAUCUUAGAGAGAAAGAAAUCUAAUCAUGGCCCCUGGCUUGUCAUCUUUUCAUGAAAGCAGCAUAAGCCAGAGCUCCCAGCAAGCCUCAUAAAACUCCAGAUUUACAGGGGACCUUUCAUCUACAUCCAUUUAAAAUGUUCCCUGCCAGGCAACUGACUAUGGAUGGAAAUCAUCAUUUGAAAAGAUCUUACUUUAAGGACUGUACACAGUGUCUUAAAUGCUGCUUCAGUUCUUCAUCCUUUUCAUAGGAUUCCAGCAUGGUGUGUGCAUCAUCGUGGCGAUAGCAGUAGAUUUUAUAUGUGUCUUCUAGUGGGCCUUUAAUCUGCAAGAACACUUCCCCUGUUAAGGAGAAAAACAAAGCGUGUCAAGCCAGACAACAGCAUCUCAGAAGGAGUUUUAUUAUUCCACCACAUUAGCCGUGAGCUAAAAAGGCUGGCUUCCACUUUACUUCCCUUAGAAACGAUCUUGCGUGUUUAUGUGCAUUAUUUAUUACAUGUAUUUCUCAGCUGCUCAUCUUUGUCAUAGCCAGGCACCAUUAUAUCAGUGUUAAUGCACAAAAAUUCCCCCAGGAAAAAGCAUGAAAUCUCUACACUCUGCACCCCUUCAUACACAACCCCCUAAUUCACUGCCCCAGUUAAAUGCCCCUUCAGUGGAAACCACACAGGAGAAGCUUAACUGCUAAGGAGAGACCAUUUUUGUGCUGUGGACUGGUAAGAGGGAUGGAUGUAAGCCUGUUAAUUUUCCUUUUGACUUUUUUUCCAACUGAAUAUGAACUUAAAUGGGUUAUAACAGGAAUAAUGACUCUAACUUCCAUUAGCCAUUUCACUUUUAUCUGUUUUGCAAAAUCCUGAAAUGGCAAUUGUUAUGGCCUAGAAUAGAGAUUUUUCUUCACAUUGACAGAGGAACAACCUCCUCCCCUAAUUAAAUAAAACUGCCAUGGACUACAGCCAUUUUUAUAUAGUAUCUAGGCUGAUAUACAACUGAAGGGGGAAAACAUUUCCAUUUCCAGUCCUCCACACCACCGUUUUCCCAAAAGAACAGUUGGGAAUUUUAGAGGCACUAAAGUAGUCCUGCACCCAUUUCCCAUUUCAUUCCGGUGCCUAAUCCUUUCAGCUGAAAACUCCUGCAUUGGUUUCUGUAUGUGUAAGAAAUAUUAUCUGAGCGGAGAAGACACACUGCAGCUCUUCUGCUGGGAUAUUCACUCGGUUCUUACACCGUGAUGUAGCAGCACGCUGAUCAGCAUCCAUGGAAAUGCAGAUAACAAACAACAGGAAUGGUGAAAAUUCCUGUCUCGGGAAUUUACUGAAAAUUACACCUAUGUGGCAACCAGUCCAAUGUUUUAUAAACAUUCCGGUUGAGUUAUGGUAGUGAUUAUUAAAGUUAAAAGCCGAACACCACAUUAAUUGGGAGCUCUCUAUUCAUUCACAGAGUGAGCGCCAAGCUGUCAGGCAUCCUGCAUGUUUCAUCCUGACCGGAGCGGGCUGUUUCAUAAUACAUUGCAUUGAACUGCUCUGUCUUAAAGUGAAAAAUGAUUCAGUUACCACAGUAACACAGCUCUGGGUUUUUUCCCUUAGCAGUGAAGGUUAACUGGGCUUCUAAUGCAUGUUGGUUCCAAGGUGUGAAUAAGGAAACAGUGACAGAGCUAAGACCAUGAGUUCAUUUUAGUUACAGUGAGGCCACGGCCAGAAAAGCACAAACACACUAUAGUUAAAUGCUCUUGAGCUGUCUGUCUGCUCUGUCUUGUGCUUAAUGCAAAUGCAGGUGGCUACCAACGCGCUUUGCAUUCUGACUUUCCCAUGAACUCGCUACAUGGGCCUUUAUCAGCCACGGGGGUAAGGGGAAACCUUAACAAACUUUCUCUUGAUCCUGCUCCCUUGGCACCUGAUUCACAGCUCUCACGCUUUUCACCAACAUUAAGCAGAGCUCCAAGUGUUUAGCACGGCCCAUACUAUGCUAAGCCCUCAACUGAGGUUAUGUUUUGAGUAGCAAAAAUGCAAGCUGUAGACUUAUAGCUUAUUUCAGCAGAUACUGGAGGCUGGAAAUUAUCAUUCACUUCUCCAGAAUGAAAGAGAUGAGCAAAAUCUGUUCACUGAUGUAUUGUGCCACGAUGACAGAUACUUUCAUUGAUACUCAGUGAUGAGAAAAAUUAUGUGCUGAUUUCACGGAUUAGGCCUUUUAAAAGCAGACAGAUUUCUUAAGCCUGAAGCCCUUCUUGGUUCUGAGCCAUACGGACCAAAUCAGAUGAGCUUUGGGCACACCACUGUGGGAGCUUGCUUCAUGGGCCAAAACCACAUGGUAUUUCAGCACAGGUUUAAAAAUGCUGAGUCUUUUGCACAUUCUGACAGAUCCAAAUGUGCCUGAUGCCUCUUCUUAAGUGUGGUGGUCAUCAGUCUCAAAGAGAAAAUCUGAGGAGGAAGGCUUGAACAACAGAAAGUUUUUCCCUGUGGCUUUCAGUGGUGCUUCCUGCAUGGACAGCAGUGGGAAAGGGAGAAAGAAGGGGUCUAAAAGCUAAUAAGCUUGCUAAGGUUUCAUGUUCCUCUGUAUACAGCAUCCAGAACAGAGAGCAGAAAAACUACAGGAGAGAACUAGAAAGGUAUUUAACCUCAGCCAUGUUUAAGCAUCAGAAGACCAAGCACCAGAAAAGGUCUGUAUUAACACAAAACUGGACACACAAACCGGAUCCUUUUGAGGAUGGUAAUUACCAGAAGACACACUCCCACGGCACAUUUUAUGCAUCCAACCAUAAAGAGCGUAUCUCAAUCUACAGGAACAGGCUAUAGCCAUCUGAAGUAAGACCUCUUGACACAUGUUGUAUGGAUACCAAGUCCUUAGCACCAACUGUUUCACUUUACAAGUCUGCUCCUAUUGGACAUUACUACUCAUCAAGGUGGACACAGCAUAAGCUGCAGAAACGAUAGACUAAAAUCAGAUAUGAAUACAAGCAACCACAUUGUUUUGGUUUCAAACCAGGUGAUUAGCAGUUCUCCUCAACCUUACCAGGACUGGGUUGCCUUCCAAAGUGACGUAUUUCAAUGCAAGUUGUUUAAACACCAUAAACAUGAUAGAAUAUGAUGGGAGUGUUAAACAGAUUGUCAGCCUGCUUUUUCUAUAGCCUGACUUUAACAAUUUAUACAUUGAUUAUGAAGAUCCCGAAGACAAAAUUAUCACCUUGCUGUACUUUUAAGGGAUGACAAACUUACUAACUUAUUGUUUCUAGUGAUACAGUUGUUCUCCCUCCUUUUGUCUCAGCAUUCAGAGGAACACCUCACACCUUACUUGCCAUCUUUUUCCCUGAUAUAAUUUAGCCAACUUUGUGAUCCACAGUCCCAUACAUUUUUAUGGUUCUUUGUCUGAUUCUGGAGAAAUACAACCUAAUAGAUGGAUGGAACUGUUUGUCUUCACUUCUGGAUAUGGCAGGGAACUAAAAGGAUGAUUCUCUUGGCUGUGAGCACAGCACUUCCUGCUAGAAUAGAACGUUGCUUAUUAAGGGUAUGACUCAUCAUGAUGCACUUUUAUUGAAAUACCGCCAGACAACGCAGUUGCAUCAAACUACGUUAAGCUGUUGCCUUGGCAAACCAGACUGAGACCUGCUAGGAUUAAUACCUUUCCCAAGCCUCAUAUACUUUAAUGUCAUGUUUCUUAGUCAAACAGCAACCGAUAAUUUUUUACCCCAUUAUUUGUGAGAAGAGGAGGCCUUUCUAUAACAUGUUACCUGUUCUUUGUGGUCAGUUUAGGGAAGAAAGAACCUCUCUGACCUCUGCAUCAUAGCUGGAAGUUUUUUAAACUAAACUGGCUGACUUUGCACUGAAGCAAGUUAAGAAUUCUCACCUGAUCCCUUAGGGUGGAUUGGGUACCGCCCCUGCUCUGAAGAAACAGUUAUGGGAGAGCUGGUGGGUGUUAACUUCUUACAUCUCUCCAGCUGUGCCAGAAUGUCAAGUGAAUAAACAGAUCACAGCCUUAACAUUCAUGGUCUCACCUGCAGAAUUUGUGACUGGUGACAUAUCCAGGAGCAACCAGUUUGCUGGAAAUACCCGUGAUCCCUAUGGACAUUCCUGCCCAGACUCUCACAAACUUCGUAACAAUUACAGCUUUCUUGCCUUUACUGACCGUGUCCCUGUUAAGCCUUAACCACCUGUUAGAUGAAUUGUAUUGCCAGUAGAUACAUGUUUACAAUGUUCAAGGGAGGUGUGAUGUGUUUAUUAUUCCAAUCAUUUUUAAUGCUUUUCUUGAAUGGUAAGAUUCUGAGUAUGCAAUAUAAGAGUUGGUGUGCAAGCAGAGUUAGGUAGGCAGUAUCAAACUGGAUGAAAAGGAUAGUAUCAAUAUGUGGCAUAACCCAGUGCUGCAGUUUUUACUCAUGCUAAACUCACUCUUCCCUUCCUCCCUUCCCCUCAACAUCCAGAUAGAUGGAAGAAGAGCAUCAUGAUCAUAUGAGUACAGUAGAGCAACUGGACAGGGUUCACAUGUCAUUUUUCCGGUGUCAUUAUGGACAGCUUGUAGCACGUUAGCCACUGGGAGCGGUACUAGUUAAGUCUGAUGAGGGUAGAGGACAGGAGACUGUUAUGUUUAUUCUUUCACGUAGCUUUGUAGAACUCAAGAGGACAGUAAACAUACCGAUUAUUUGCAUGGGUGGUUCCACAUCUGUCGUGGCUUCUUCCAACAAUGACAGCAGUUUGGCUGAUACUUGAUGAACCAAUUCGAUGUUGCUAAACAAGCCAUCCACGUCAAAGCGAGCAAUCUAAUGGAAUACAAAUAUUAAGUGGCUACUGACGAAGGAUAAAGAAGGACAUUGUGUAUUACAGACCUUCUCUUGCUAAACCCUGAGUAUUCAACACUCCAGGAAGCACCACUUCUGCAAAACCUCAUAUAAACAUCCUCCUUGUGACUUCAAGGACACAUAUACAGUUUUCAGAUUAGUAUAAUAUGGUUGACGCACUUAACAAAGGGUAUGUUAUCAAGUGCUUUUAACCUUAUUUUGAACUAACCCUAACCUGAAAGUGUUUGCCUGGGAAGGAAAUACAUAUUAUCAUCUGAAUAAGAAAAGAUCCUUAGCUGGCUUUAAAAUACUUGUUUACUUUCCCACUUAGGAAAAGAAUAGCUGACAGUGGGUUUGAUUCCAGUUGCUAACAGCAGCCACUACGUAAACUGAGACCUUGGUGCUUUGGUGCCAGCUACCAGGUACAAAGACUUCCAGACGGUGGUACCAUGUUAAGUUAGUUCCCUAUAAAUCCAAAAAUACAAUUGAGAUCGUAUAAUUUCCACUAAAAGAAACACAUUUACAACUCUGGGUAUUAAUAUAACCUAGAGAGCUUCCUGCAGAUCCUGGGCAUGCAACAUUGACUUGGGUGGACUGCAUCAGUUUACACCAACAGAAAAUUUGGAUCCGUGUCCCUACUCAUUUUAUAGCAAGUAAAAAAUUUCCAGGACACGUACUUUUCGUGCAGUAAUUAGUUAUUCCUUGCACAGCAGAGCAAUAGUUAAUAUUUGGGGACAACUGGAGAUAGCCAGUGGUAAUGUGCCGAUACUGAGAACAAAGGCAAGAUUGAUUUCGACAUCCAUAAUGAUACCCUCUGAGCGUAUGUCUAUUAGAAAUAGAAUUGCUGACUUAUAUAGCAGCUUACCAGAUGCCAGGAGGAUCAAAUUGCAUGCCAUUGUAACAAAAUCAGAAAUAUAUUUUCAGUACUAAUGCAGUUAAUUUCUUUGUAAGUAUUAUAGGGGCUAAAGUGUGUUUUAUCCAUUUGGAAAUAUGAAACAUAUUCAUUGCUAGGUCAAUUUUCUAAAUGCUAUCCUUCUCUAAACACAUUACAAACUUUCAGUACAGUAGUUUAUCCGCCAACUAGCCUUAAAACCAUAUAACAUUCUUGAAAGCCUUUCAAAAAUGCCGAGUUUAUUAAAUUAAGACAGUUAUAAUCUCUAAAUUGCUUUUCCAGUAUACAUCUAGCACAGGACUUCCGACCUCUGCUCCAGUACAAUGCCUACAUAGUAUUUCGAACUACACUGUGCAUGGACACUUGAACACUUUAAUACAGUGAUAAAGGGCAGAAUUUGAAUGUAUGUUUUCAGUUGGCUGGAAAAGGGCAAAGGAAUACAGCACACUUGUCAAAAAUCUCAGCACGUUCAACCAGGGACUCCUCUUGCUCAGUGUUGGCCAGGCUGGGGAGGGACUCAGGUGGGGAAUACUUCUAAGUGGAUGAACAAGUGAGGAGGAAGAAGUCAAGAACUCCUUAAAGCUAUGUCAGCAGAUGCCAGGUCUUCUGAAAACAGCUUGGAACAAACUCUGACAGAGCUUUAAGGAAGAAAAACGGUCCUUAAACAGCACAAGCUUCAGCUGGCCAUGGUGUUUCCCAAAGAGACAGUGCCAACGUCAUCUAAAGACACUUUGGCCCCUGCAUCUCUAUUUUGUCACCGAUUUCAUAACAAACCCUACAUACAGAACAUUUGGGUUAAGGUCUGUUUCAAAUUAUUUUUAUUCUGUGUUAGCAGCAGACAUCAUUUGUGCAGCCUCUGUUAAUGCUAUGUCGCAGGCCACAUAAAUACGAGUCUUUCUCUGGACAACCUCUCCUUCUAUUCCCAGCUUUCCGCUGCACAAUUUUUCUAACAAUUGCAAUAUUGUUGAGGAAAAGGUGGUCUUUGAAGUCUCAGCUGAAAAAGAAAAUAGGUAUCAUUGGCCUAAUAAGAUCGUUUGCCUGAAAGAUAGCUUAUGAGCCUUCCUUCUUAAAUGUACCUUUUCCAUGUAGAAUGCAAAUUCUGAAGUGCUCACUGGGCUGUUAGACAUGGUAUUUCUCCACAACAGCUGUUUGAAAGGCUGGAUAAAGUUAUCUGUGCUUGCAUUAAGGUUAUCUGUGAGCAGAACGUGGGUGAGUGGAGACCCUGACAUCACCACCUCACCUCCUCCUCCGCCCCCAGCGCUCACCUGCUUCUUUCUCAGGGGCUGAAUCACUUCCUUGAUGCAGAGAUCCAGGUCGCUGAUAUAGUCUUUCUCCGUCUGCAUGAGUUCUGCGAUGAUUUUCACCCUCUUGGCCAUCAUGCGCCUCCUGACUUGUUCUUCAUCCUCCUGUGGUGAAGUGGCAGGGGAUGAGGACCCCACUUGAGGGGACAUCUUUUCUGUUUAAAAGAGGGAAAUCUGUGAGGAGCACCAGUGCUUCCCCAGUUUGCCCUGCGUGACCACAGGGGAACGUAAACAGUGCCUGUUGGAAACUCCAAAAUCACCAUGGGGAGCAGGAAAAGAAAUGGCAAUCCUGGAUCGGACUGGAUGUUGUCCCAUCACGGAUGCCCUUCUACAUCUAUAAUGAUUUGGAGGAUGGGAGAAAACACCUUCCUGCGGAAGAAAAAGGCUGUAUUUACCAUAAAUAAGCUUCACCGGAAUAACUUUCGCUCCGUACUAUGUAAUGUUACCUCUAUUCAUGGAAGGCUGAGGGUUGUAGGUACUGGAAGAUAAACUUUUAAAUUAAGAUAAUGUUACAAUGAUGAUGAAACCUAUAAUUCUGUUUAAAAAUAUUUCUUUGAUAGAGGCAAAGGAAUUACAGGAGAAUGUGGGAAAACCUUUAAUGAUCAAUAUUGGAACAACAAAUAUCACUGGGAUCAAAACAUUCUUAACUAUUUUUCCACACUUCAGACCUAGAAUAUCUGAUUUCUUCCAAACACAUGGAAAUGCAAGCAAAUCUUCUACAGACAGGUAAUUUAUGUGUGCUACAGGACCUACUUAUCUGAUGGUCUUGCCUUUUGCUGGUUUGUAAGCCAGCCUGCAGACAUCCAUGUCAUCUGUACGAAGGGCACCAAAUUUUAUCUGUGUACACUGACAAUCUAUAUUUUGCAUUAGGAAAAACACACAUAGGGAAAAAAAAAAGGUGAAAGAUUUCAGAGGCUAUUGUGGAUUUUUUCUGCUAGCCACAAGAUGGUGCAGAGCACCAAGAAAAAUGGACAUAUCAUUACCCUACUCAUCUUUGCAUUACCCAGGCCGCGCUUUGACAGCACGGGCUUUUAUUGCUUAGCGGCCAAGGAUGGAAAUCUGUGCUGAGGAUCAGAACGCUAAGCCUUGGUGUCAACUUCUCAUAGGGAGCACACUGUAUAAUGAGGCAAUAGCAAGCAGUAUCUGAUGCUUUGCUUGCUGAGAGCCAAUACAGAAUAUAUUGGAGUUUUUUGGAUUUAUCGUCAAGGCUGAGGUCAUGAGCACUCAAGUGAGCGCCGAGCAGCGUGUGUCUCACCAGGCUGUAGGUGACAACCUGGACGUGUGGGAAAACCGAGCAGCUUUCAGAAGCUUUGAACCUCCUUCCGCUGAGAGCUGUGAAAUGUUGUAAGGCCAAGGAUCACCGUCCUCAACCCCUUCUACAACUAUGCUGGCCACUGAUAUUCAGAAAGGACAGGUUUGUUAUUGAUCCUUCUCCCAUCAGGUUUUCUAGUGAGACUGAUGUGACCACAGCUUUUGUUUUAAAUAGCUGCUUUUGGGACUGCAUCUCUGCCUCUUUACUGAUGGAUUUAAGCAGUGAGGACAAGGAACCCAAACAAACUGGGGAGGAGGGGCUGUUUUUUGAGACUUCUUGUAUUUAGGGGCACUUUCUACUUUUGAGUUUUUAACCUUGAAGUGUCUGCGUAACACAGGCAUGAACACGGACAAUAAAAAAGAAACACGAUGAGAAUGUCUCCCCUCUGCAAGGCUUGGGCUAUUGAAAGAAUUCCAAGCUGAAUCCACGCUGGUGUGAGCGCACAGGACCAAAGGUGCUGUGUUCUGGAAGAAACAGACUCCGCCAUUACUUUAGUGAGGAAGAGAGCGAAAUUGGUAUUGGCGCCACUCCACAGCUCCCUCUGAGCGAUUUUCUGCUAGGGGUGCAGAAUGACACCACCUUACCUGCUGCUUACGUGCUAAAACGGCAGGUACUUUUUCCUCUAAAAACUUACAGUAUGUUACCACACUCAUAAAUCACAAGGAACCACAUGAACAAUCAAUUUCUGUUCCAGUUCUGCACCAAAAUCAGCGUUUUUCUUGAGAUUGGAUGUGAAAAUGUUUGCAUGCAUGUGUCUGUAUGUGGGAGUCCAGGGUGACUCCUGAGAAAGUGCAGAGAGGACCAGACGUCCUGGAAGAUCUCAGAAGUGUCAUUUCAUCUCAGAUGCAGCAUUGUUACGAUAUCAGAUGGAAUCUGAAGGUAAACACAAGAUUCUUUGCAAAAGAACUUUCUUAUCUUCUAUACUGGAACAGGAAAGGGCAUUAUAUGCGCAAAACAAAGCCGCUGUUAUCCCACUUCAGGCUCAAAUUUUCAGUCCCUUGAGAGGCUGUUCUUUCCGUUUAUGUCACUAGAUUGCCCUGAUCAAAUUUGAUGCUUGAACUAUGUCAGGGCUCAUCUAUUAUCCUUAUUGCAUGAUAGAUAAUAAUGCCAGGAAAUAAAAACUGUUCUCAACAGGAAGAAAUAACCAUGAGAAAUAUCAGGUAGGUGCUGUUUCCUUAUAGAAAACAUGUUUUUUAAUAAAUGUAUUCUUUUGUUAAAAGUAAUAUAAUUGUCCAUUUUCACUCAAUACAUUAACAUUUUCAUUUUCAGACAUGUCUGUCUCUAUAGAAUGCAACAUCAAGAUCCUGAAGUGAUGAUUACAGCCAAAACCUGUGAUUUCGUGUUCAGCUGAUUGCUUUUAACCAGUUUGAGGACAUUAGUAGCUUGCUGAAAUCCUUGUGGAGUAAGUAACAGUUUUGUGAAUGCACAAACAGCAAGUUCAUAUCUGGAAUAUAAGCAGCCUUGUUUCUAGCUGGUAAUGUGUACCAGCCCCAGAAUUGUUCAAGAGAGAGGAUUAGCAGGAAGAGGCAUUGCUGAAGAUUAACUGUUACAGUAAGAAUUUGGCUUGUUCAUCCUUGCAGAAGCCAGGUUUAAGGAAAAGAAAAACCUGUCUGUUGAAUGGUUUAUUAGACAGCUACAUCUUAAGACCAGUUUACCAAAAAAAGGUAAUUGGUACUUUUAGUAGGCAUAUAAAUGUAAAGUAGAAGGCAAUGCUUGCAAUUGUUGCUUUGCGGUGUCAGUUAUCUGCAGGAGCCGCCUUUCUGGAGGACUUUGCUUCGGAGAGGAAGGUGUUGACUUUGGUCUUCCAGCUGUGUGUUGAAGUACACAGCUCUAGCUGCACAAAGCAGGAGGUUCACUAUGUGGUGACAUGGACAAAGCAGCUGUGUGCCUUACAAAAGAAGCUUCUUGCAAGUGUGAAGCCUAAAAAUAUCCCCCCAGCAGUGCAGGGAGAGCACAGAGGAGCAGAGCCUGUGAUGUGCCAGUGUCAUAGGACCCAGGGAGAUACUGGGGGAUCCACAGCAAGCAACUGGAGAAGCAGCCAGAGCAGAAAAAUGAUGCUUCUGUCUAGCAGAUGGAGAACUAUGGAAGAAAAAACAUAUAUGGCUUGAUCAAGGUAUGUCUGGGCUCAUCUAAGAGUGAGUUGCAGAUGACUGCAUGGUUGUAUCACAAACCUGUCCUCUGAUAGCAAUCACUUAUUUUCCCCUGUCUAAAACGGGGCUGCAGGCAUCUGAUUAUCUCACAGGAUGAGUUGAAAUAAAUGCACUAAUGCUUGCCAAGCUCUUUGAGAAUAUAAUGGUUACUUUGCAUCUUGUUUCCUUUUUAAAAAGAACAAAGCCAGGAGGUGUUGCAUGGCCAUUCACACCAGAUAAGGUAUUGAAUAGAAGUCUCUAGUACAAUAAUUAACAAUGAAAAUACUUUCUUGUGUUUUUAAUGAAUCCUUAAUUUUAAAGUGAACAACACUUGCAGAGGUUUGCACCUUUGACAAUGCUUUUGUGCUGAUGUUUGUAGACUCGCAGCACAAACCACCUUGAUUACCCUGGAGAUCUGGGUGGUACGCACCCUUCCCCACUCUUUAUAGAAAAUAUUUUGGAUUCUGUAUAAAAUAGAAAAACUUAAGAGAAAUCCAAGGGCAGAAAUGGAAUUGUCAGGAGUUUGCAUGCCUGACUGCUUGUUCACAUGCUUUUGGUUUGUUUGGGUUUUAUUUGUUUAUAGGCUUUUAUUUGGGGACCUGUUUUUCUAGCACACCGAGCUGCACUUUGAGCACGUAUGUACUUCAGAGCUGCUGGAAAUGGCUGGCGGGGGGAGGCAACAGCCUGGUUUCUACUCAGAGAACCACUCAAAGCACGCAGAGGGCUGGACGGGCCCUCAAGAGCUGUCUCACCCAUGCUUUACCGCGCACAAACGUGCUGUAACUCUGACAGAGGCAUUGCCGAGUUAGGACAGCGUGGUGCCUGUGUUCCCUGCCACUAGCAGCGAUGGGCGCCCCGCAGCCUCUGACUCUCGGCUUCCCACCCCUGCUGAUGGGGGAUUCCGUUCUGUAGGGUUUGCUCCUGUCUUAGACAUCCUUGUCCAUGCUAAUGCCAACCACGGUUCUGCAGACUGUGUGCUAGAAAGGCUAUUAACAGGGGACUAUAGAAGGGAGGCGCGAUUAAACACAAGAGCUUUUCCUCCAAUUCAUAUGGGAGGCAAGUGCAAAUUAUUGCCAUCCGUAUAUUUUUGCAAAGCAUUUACCAUUCUAGGGUGAUGGGAGAGUCCCGCUCUGGUGAUACAAACCAGGCCAUUUAUGUCUCCAACACAUCUGUUGGGUUUUCUUACCAAGAAUGGAGAACUCAAAAGCUUUGUGCCAACAAACCCACUUCCCUCACUUUGGAGUAAGCUGGUUUGCAUCCAAGUGCUGGUGAGAAAAAUGAAGAACAUAAAGGCGUUCAGUCAUAGCACAUCGUCAGCGCUGGCAGGGAGCACAUGAGGUCUGAGAUCCGUGAUCGUUAUCAGAUUCAGGCACAUCUAGCUCAGCAAAAUUUGAUCCAGAUCAGGCCUUGGCACACAACCAUUUAUUUCUCUCAAGACCGUAAAUACACUUCAUAGGAAUUUCUACCGACUUUGUAUUUUCACUCUGAGGACAAGCGACUUCUAAUCCAAUAUAAAGCCUCCCGGUACCUUGUUAACCCAUCACCAUUUUUCUUGAACAAACAUGAGCAAGCAGAAUGAGCCAUCAGCAGACCAGUGCUUUGCAAUAGGUGGCUGUGGCAGUCUCAGCUGGUGGCAGGAGCUGUAAAGCUGGAUUUACCGUUUCCUUGGACCGCUGCCAUAAACAUAACCUCAUGCUCUGCCGUGACUACCGAGGCUUCCUCCUCCUUUGCUCCAGAUUUUAAACAGGAGACGUUCACAGCUUAAUACACCUGACAUGGGACAGAAAAUCUCACACUUUUGCUGGAUACUGCUCUGACAACUUCAACCUCACCUGGGCAACCCCCUUCAUGAGUAAAAAGCUGCUGUUUUGGUGGGACGUCUGCCAGGACCUUGCCUGCCCAACCAUGGCGAUCCACGCUCGUACCUUGCAACACCUCUGCCAAAUCCCUGCAGCACACGCCUGACUUAACCGACAAUUCUUCAUCUUCUCAUUGAUUAGCUAUUGCAAGGAGGGAACAACAUAAUCGAUGAACCGCUCUGUUGUCCUCAGUGUAUGCAGCCCCCAUAGAAACCCUAUUAUUUUAAUGCUUAUUAUUUUAUUUGCUGCUUUUAUUGUCUCUCUGAAGUAAUGCUACUUCCUAAUUAAAUGCAUCAAAACCAUAAUACAGCAA